UACAGAGGAGCCAAGCGUUGUCCGGAUUGACUGGGCGUAAAGCGCACGCAGGCGGACGCGCGCGUGGGGUGUGAAAUCUGGCCGCUUAACGGCCAGGCGCCAUCCCAUACGGCGUGUCUGGAGUGAUGCAGAGGUCGGUGGAAUUGCCGGUGUAGUGGUGAAAUGCGUAGAUAUUGGGAAGAACACCAGUGGCGAAGGCGGCUCACUGGCCCGUAACUGACGCUGAGGUGCGAAAGCGUGGGGAGCAAACAGG
rnacentral:rRNA from 1 species